CAAUAGCGUAUAUUUAAGUUGUUGCAGUUAAAAAGCUCGUAGUUGGAUUUUCGGUUGAGAGCGGCCGGUCCGCCGUUUGGUGUGCACUGGCUGGUCUCAACUUCCUGCGGAGGACGCGCUCUGGGCUUAACGGUCUGGACGUGGAGUCCGCGUGGUUACUUUGAAAAAAUUUAGAGUGUUCAAAGCGGGCUUACGCUUGAAUAUUUCAGCAUGGAAUAACACUAUAGGACUCCUGUCCUAUUUCGUUGGUCUCGGGACGGGAGUAAUGAUUAAGAGGAACAGUUGGGGGCAUUCGUAUUUCAUUGUCAGAGGUGAAAUUCUUGGACCGUUUGAAGACAAACUACUGCGAAAGCAUUUGCCAAGAAUGUUUUCAUUAAUCAAGAACGAAAGUUAA
rnacentral:rRNA from 1 species